UACGUAGGGAGCAAGCGUUGUUCGGAUUUACUGGGCGUAAAGGGCGCGUAGGCGGUUGGAUAAGUCAGCUGUGAAAACCACGGGCUUAACUCGUGGCCUGCAGUUGAGACUGUCUGGCUUGAGUGUGGGAGAGGAGAGUGGAAUUCCUGGUGUAGCGGUGAAAUGCGUAGAUAUCAGGAGGAACACCGGUGGCGAAGGCGGCUCUCUGGACCACAACUGACGCUGAGGCGCGAAAGCUAGGGGAGCAAACAGG
rnacentral:rRNA from 1 species